rnacentral:rRNA from 1 species
AUUGAACGCUGGCGGCAGGCCUAACACAUGCAAGUCGAGCGGAUGAAGGGAGCUUGCUCCUGGAUUCAUCGGCGGACGGGUGAGUAAUGCCUAGGAAUCUGCCUGGUCGUGGGGGAUAACGUCCGGAAACGGGCGCUAAUACCCCAUACGUCCUGUGGGAGAAAUUGGGUGAUCUUCGGACCUCACGCUAACAUAUGAGCCUAGGUCUGAUUAGCUAGUUGGUGGGGUAAAGGCCUACCAAGGCGACGAUCCGUAACUGGUCUGAGAGGAUGAUCAGUCAAACUGGAACUGAGACACGGUCCAGAAUACUACGGGAGGCAGCAGUGGGGAAUAUUGGACAAAGGGCGAAAGCGUGAUCAAGCCAUGCCGGGUGUGAGAAGAAGGUAGUCGGAUUGUGAAGGACUUUAAGUUGGGAGGAAGGGCAGUAAGUUAAUACCUUGCUGUUUUGACGUUACCAACAGAAUAAGCACCGGCUAACUUCGUGC